GGCAUCCUACGAGCUGGAUCCUCAACGACUUGUUUAAGAGAUAGUUCCAGUAGGGAGUUUGGAAUAUGUGUGCUCCUGGCAAAAGCAGCUAUUUUGGUUUUGUAGUUUACAUCUGGAAGAUAAGUCACACAUGAUGAAAACUUCGCCCUCCAUUGUCAUUUGAGCUAUUUCUUCAACUAGUAGAUUAUCUAACUAUUCUAUUU